AAAGCGUGCGCAGGCGGUUAUGUAAGACAGAUGUGAAAUCACCGGGCUCAACCUGGGAACUGCAUUAGUGACUGCAUAGCUGGAGUACGGCAGAGGGGGAUGGAAUUCCGCGUGUAGCAGUGAAAUGCGUAGAUAUGCGGAGGAACACCGAUGGCGAAGGCAAUCCCCUGGGCCUGUACUGACGCUCAUGCACGAAAGCGUGGGGAGCAAACAGGAUUAGAUACCCUAGU
rnacentral:rRNA from 1 species